rnacentral:rRNA from 1 species
AGCAGUCGCCGCGGUAAUACGGAGGGAGCUAGCGUUAUUCGGAAUUACUGGGCGUAAAGCGCACGUAGGCGGCUUUGUAAGUUAGAGGUGAAAGCCUGGAGCUCAACUCCAGAAUUGCCUUUAAGACCGCAUCGCUUGAAUCCAGGAGAGGUGAGUGGAAUUCCGAGUGUAGAGGUGAAAUUCGUAGAUAUUCGGAAGAACACCAGUGGCGAAGGCGGCUCACUGGACUGGUAUUGACGCUGAGGUGCGAAAGCGUGGGUAGCAAACAGGAUUAGAGACCCCAGUAGUCCCUGUCUCUUAUAC